UACAGAGGGUGCAAGCGUUGUUCGGAAUUAUUGGGCGUAAAGCGCGUGUAGGCGGCUUUGCAAGUCGGGUGUGAAAGCCCUCAGCUUAACUGAGGAAGUGCGCCCGAAACUGCUUGGCUUGAGUACCGGAGAGGAUGGUGGAAUUCCCCAAGUAGAGGUGAAAUUCGUAGAUAUGGGGAGGAACACCGGUGGCGAAGGCGACCAUCUGGACGGAUACUGACGCUGAGACGCGAAAGCGUGGGUAGCAAACAGG
rnacentral:ncRNA from 2 species